CCUCGCUACACCGUCAUGAACUCGCCCACUCCAUCUCUGACUCCACCUAGUGGUCUUCUGCCUGCCACCUCUUUUCCCCACCCCACCCUUCAAGCCAGAGUCCUCAGGAGCUCCUGCUGCUCCUCUUGCAGCAGUUUGGUCCCCUUUCCCUCAGUGCUCCCUCCGGCCUCCAUGACAAGUAUUCUGCCACCCAGAUGGCCCCUUCACACCCACUCCCUUCCUCCCUUUCCUGGAGUGGCACAAGAAAACAGGCAGCAGGUAAGGCUGGGACUCAGGUGUGUGAGGGGUAGAGGGGCCACCCGACCACGGCUCCCAGAGCUCUUCAGGUUCGGCCAGGGUCUCCUCACACUUUGCUGCCUCCCUCUUGCUUCCCACGCGCCUCGGUGCCAUGCUCUGCCCCGUAUGUCCAGGAGAACGUUCGGUUCACAGGACCCCCUCCCCCCCACUGGAGCACUCGCAGCAGAACUUCAGGCUGCCCCAGUGCACCACACGGUGUAUUUCUGGUGUAGGGCUGGUGUUUAAGAGAUUGACUUGGUCUGACAAAUAGCAGAAGCCCCUCUCCAUGCUGCAUCACCGAACUCCACUCAAAUAUCAGCCCAAAGCUUCAGUCUUUCAAAAAAAAAAAAAACGAGAGCUGGGCAUGUUGGUGCAUUCCUGUAAUCUCAGCCACCUGGGAGGCUGAGGCGGGAGAAUUGCAAGUGAAAAACCAGCCUCUACCUCAGAGCAAAGCCUGUCCAAGGAAGGGACAUGACCUUUGUUCUUGGAAAGACCCACAGAGCACUCCUAGGCACAUUCCCACCCUGCUGAGUUGUUUAUCUACAAAUAAUAGGUGUCCCUGACUCAGUCAGGCUAGGUGGGGACCCAGAGUAAUCCCCCUAGCAGCCACCAAUCAGCAUGAGACAGGUAAAUACUUGGGAUGCCAGAUGACCCUCCCAGUAGUUUAUGGUGUUGGGAAACCAUGUAAUUCAGCAUGAACACCCCUCUUGGCUUAAAUCAAUCAGUUCAAAUGAAUCCCCCUCUUGUAGUAACCGAUCACCCCUACCCGACUUGUUCCCGCCAGUGAAUGUGCUAAUCAUGUUUUAGAGUUGUUAUUUGAUUUUCCCGCGGUGUGUGAUGAUUUGCUAAGAGAUGCUAUGAUGUAUGUGGAGAUCCCUGCCUUCCCCAAAGAGUGUAUAAAACUGCUGCAAACCCUGGGCUCGGGGCCUCUCAGUGUCACCAGUUGCUGUGUGUGCACGCGGAGGACCGAGCUAGCUCGCAAUAAACACCUCUUUGCUGCUUACAUCGAUCUUGGUCUC
rnacentral:lncRNA from 1 species